rnacentral:misc_RNA from 1 species
CAACCCUCGAACCCCUCCGGGGGGUCGGCGUUGGGGAUCGGCCUCCUCUCACGGGGGCCGUCUCCGAAAUACAGUGGCGGUCUCGCCGCAGCCUCUCCCGCGCAGUAGUUUGCACACUCGCAUCGGGAGCGCGGCGCGUCCACAGCCGUUAAACACCCCAAACUUCUGAAA